rnacentral:tRNA from 1 species
AAAGUUUGUAAAAUUAAAUUUCUAAUUUAAUUAAAGCAUUUAUAUGUUAAACUUUU